rnacentral:rRNA from 1 species
CCGGCGACCGGCGCACGGGUGAGUAACGCGUAUGCAACCUGCCCGUUUCAGCGGGAUAACCCGGAGAAAUCCGGCCUAAUACCGCAUGUGGCCGAGGGGAGGCAUCUUCUUUCGGCCAAAGGAGGCAACUCCCGGAGACGGAUGGGCAUGCGUGACAUUAGCUUGUUGGCGGGGUAACGGCCCACCAAGGCGACGAUGUCUAGGGGUUCUGAGAGGAAGGUCCCCCACACUGGUACUGAGACACGGACCAGACUCCUACGGAAGGCAGCAG